UACGUAGGGUGCGAGCGUUAAUCGGAAUUACUGGGCGUAAAGCGUGCGCAGGCGGUUCGGCAUGUCUGAUGUGAAAGCCCCGGGCUCAACCUGGGAAUUGCAUUGGAAACUAGCGGGCUGGAGUGUGGCAGAGGGGGGUGGAAUUCCACGUGUAGCGGUGAAAUGCGUAGAUAUCAGGAGGAACACCGGCGGCGAAGGCGGCCCUCUGGAUCGUUGCUGACGCUGAGACGCGAAAGCGUGGGGAGCAAACAGG
rnacentral:rRNA from 1 species